GCCACUCCGGCCCCGGUUAGCGUCGUGCGCUCUGUUCGUUCACCGCGAGGCCUGUGCGCCCGUUUCCCCGUGCGGGCCGUCCGCGCCGCUGCACCCGCCGGGGAGCAGCUCCCGAGCCAGGACGGGCGGGCUCCUCGCCCACUGGUGUGCCGGUGGCGCCGAGGGGUGGUGGCCCCACGGAAGGCGAGCUUCUUUGUUGUCAUCUUAAUUUAUAGGAGCCUGAACUGAUAACAACACAAACGCCAAUCAACAAAAGGAUGGACAGACUGUGGUCUCUCUAUGCGAGGAAAUCCUACUGAGAAAUAUUGGGUACAUGGCAUCCCCAAAACGUUACCAGGCGUGUGAAGAGGCGACCAACUACGCACCACGAGGAGGAGAACGUGCAGUCGAUUGGACCGGAGCCAGAAAUAACGCAGAUAAACCCGAGGCCCAGAUGACUCCAAUACAGAAUUGACCACACAUUCAGAGAAGAAAAAAACAUACCACUUCUAGGCAAAAUCUUCCAGAAAAUUGAAGAGGGUUCAGAGCACUUGAGAAGCAAGAGUCAACUCCCCUCCACCAGCAGAGCCAGGCCCCACAGCCCUGGGUCCACAAUGGAUUAUUCUACGUCUCCCCCAUUUCACAGAUGGAAGAGCCGAGUUCCAGAACAUUCCACACUUGCUCCAGGUCCCACAGGAGGGGCACACGUGGUCUGGGAACACAGCUCUCACUGUCUUGGGCAGGCAGGCGAAGGAGGGCAACCCAGGCGGGUGUAGAGUAGGUGGGGUUUCACCCCGAUUCUGGUCCCUGGGGCGUGAGGACCUUUUAAACAGGGACCCCCCUGCUCCUCUCUUGGGGUUGAAGGGGGGGAUCAAUGGGUUAGCGUGUCGGGCACGGGGGCCACGGCUGGCCUGACAGGCACUUAGUGUCGGCUCUGAGGGCUGUUCGGAAUGGGGGACCCCAGGGAUGCCGUCCUGCUCCGGAGAGAGGGCCCUGGGAGCGCUCGGGCCUGGGGCUGGAGCAGGUGCAGGCCGACCUGGCCACACGGCGGGCUCCCGUGCAUUCUCCACGUUGGACUCGGCUCUCUUGUGCCUGAGUCCCGCUCUAAGCUUGCACCCCUGAGCACUUGGGAAGAGUGACAUCCGUCCUUUUGGCCCACGUGAAGCCAGUGCCACCCAAAGGCUGGGCCCCUCCCACUGAGUGCGGGGCAGGGUUGGGCAUCGGAGCGAAGCCCCCAGGGGCGGCAGGGAGACAAGGCAGGGAGACAGGGAGACGCGGCUCUGAAUGGAAAGUGGUCGUUGCUUUAAUUCUGGGCAGGAUGGCCACCGAGGCCCGGCCAGGCCUGCCCGUGGCGGGGACCACCGCUGCUCCGUUAACAUGAUUGCUUACAAAAAUAAAUA